GAACAUAUGCCAGGGGCUGCCAUUCUAAAGGGCUGAGCCUUUGUGAGAAGGCAGUGAGGAUUUGGAUUUGGGAUGAUACUGACUGAGCCACAGGAGCCCAAACAUCUGCCAGAGCCAGCAACAGGAAAACUCAACAGCUGAAAUUUGUUGUUAUUCUUCCCAUCUUCCACUGUUUCUCUAACCAGAGAGUACUGUGGCCAGUGUAUAUCCACAAAUAAGGAUUGAGAAUAGAUGAGAAACCUGGAAAGCUUCAUUACAUUUCCAGGACACCAGAGUAAGAAUCGCCAUGCCAGAAACUAUAUUCCUAUAUUAGAAAUAGAUGACACCAUUUUCCAGUCUGAAAUUACAAGUCAG
rnacentral:lncRNA from 1 species